GACGAACGCUGGCGGCAUGCCUAAUACAUGCAAGUCGAGCGAACAGAUGAAGUGCUUGCACUUCUGACGUUAGCGGCGAACGGGUGAGUAACACGUAAGGAAUCUACCUAUAAGCGGGGGAUAACAUUCGGAAACGGGUGCUAAUACCGCAUAAUAUCUUCUUCCGCAUGGAAGAAAAUUGAAAGACGGCUCUGCUGUCACUUAUUGAUUAACUUGCGGUGCAUUAGUUAGUUGGUGGGGUAAUGGGCUACCAAGACGAUGAUGCAUAGCCGACCUGAAAGGGUGAUCGGCCACAUUGGGACUGAGACACGGCCCAAACUCCUACGGGAGGCAGCAGUAGGGAAUCUUCCGCAAUGGGCGAAAGCCUGACGGAGCAAUGCCGCGUGAGUGAAGAAGGCCUUCGGGUCGUAAAACUCUGUUAUAAGAGAAGAACAAAUUGUAGAGUAACUGCUACAGUCUUGACGGUAUCUUAUCAGAAAGCCACGGCUAACUACGUGCCAGCCGCCGCGGUAA
rnacentral:rRNA from 1 species